GACGAACGCUGGCGGCGUGCUUAACACAUGCAAGUCGAGCGGUAAGGCCCUUUCGGGGGUACGACGAGCGGCGAACGGGUUGAGUAACACGUGGGUGACCUGCCCUCAGCUCUGGGAUAAGCCUGGGAAACCGGGUCUAAUACUGGAUAUGACUCCAUGACGCAUGUUGUGGGGUGGAAAGCCUUGUGCGGCUGAGGAUGGGCCCGCGGCCUAUCAGCUUGUUGGUGGGGUGAUGGCCUACCAAGGCGACGACGGGUAGCCGGCCUGAGAGGGCGACCGGCCACACUGGGACUGAGACACGGCCCAGACUCCUACGGGAGGCAGCAGUGGGGAAUCUUGCGCAAUGGGCGAAAGCCUGACGCAGCGACGCCGCGUGAGGGAUGACGGCCUGGUGUAACU
rnacentral:rRNA from 1 species